UGGAAGAAGAUGCUGGCCAGCAUGUGUGUUUCUGUUUCAGAAUGGAGAGGAAGUUGAUUUUACAGGGUACAGACAGAUGACUCACAACAAGCACAUUAAUGAUGGAUGGAUUCUGACUGUGGCGAGUACAGAGAACCCCGAGAGGGUGCCAGUCGAGUGCAAGAGUCAGAGAUGUGUCCCUGAGGAGGUGGCAUUAAGACUGCCACCUGAAGGAAUCUACAAGAAACAUGGCCACAUCCCCAGAUGAGCACGUGGAGUCUGUCGAAC